CCUACGGGAGGCAGCAGUGAGGAAUAUUGGUCAAUGGCCGGAAGGCUGAACCAGCCAAGUCGCGUGAGGGACGACUGCCCUAUGGGUUGUAAACCUCUUGUAUAAGGGAAGAAGAAAUGCUACGUGUAGCAUGAUGCCUGUACCUUAUGAAUAAGCAUCGGCUAACGCCGUGCCAGCAGCCGCGGUAAUACGGAGGAUUCGAGCGUUAUCCGGAUUUAUUGGGUUUCAAGGGUGCGUAGGCGGUUUUUUAAGUUAGUGGUUAAACGUCGGGGCUGCACCUUGAUUUGCCAUUCAUACUGUCAGACUCGCGUUCAGCCGAGUUAGGCGGACUCAGUUCCGUAGCGGU
rnacentral:rRNA from 1 species